CCUACGGGUGGCAGCAGUGAGGAAUAUUGGUCAAUGGGCGGAAGCCUGAACCAGCCAAGUAGCGUGCGGGAUGAAGGCCCUACGGGUCGUAAACCGCUUUUGCACGGGGAUAACACCCUCCACUUGUGGAGGUCUGCAGGUACCGUGCGAAUAAGGGCCGGCUAAUUCCGUGCCAGCAGCCGCGGUAAUACGGAAGGUCCGAGCGUUAUCCGGAUUUAUUGGGCUUAAAGGGAGCGUAGGCGGGACGUCAAGUCAGCUGUAAAAUCGCCGGGCUCAACCCCGGCCCGGCAGUGAAACCGGGACUCCUUGAGUCCACAACAGGCAGGCGGAAUUCGUGGUGUAGCGGUGAAAUGCUUAGAUAUGACGAAGAACCCCGAUUGCGAAGGCAGCCUGCCGGGGUGCGACUGACGCUGAGGCUCGAACGUGCGGGUAUCAAACAGGAUUAGAUACCCUUGUAGUC
rnacentral:rRNA from 1 species